AGAUAAGUAAGAAUUCAAAAGUGAGGCAAGACAGUCAUUAUCUUGUGAGGGGCUGAGUGCUUCCUGCAGGAUGCUGAAUUACUCUGCUUGACUGAUAGUCCUCCGCAGAUUGCUGGGUUAGGCCCAUUGUCACAAAGGUGGGAGACAAAGGUGAUAUUGGGAACUGCCUUUGCAUGGAUGGAAACAAGGCAGGAGAGUGAGAGGCCAGCAAGGAGAAAUUACAGUAGAUGAGUGAAAAAUUAUUGCAGAAUGGAUUUUUGUUUUGGUAAUAGGGGCUGGUCAAUAGUUAAGGUGUAAAAGAAACUUCCUUCCUGCAAAGUAGGGAGUAAGAACAAGAAUUCAUUAAAGAGCACCUGGACAGCGAGGGCCUAAUUGUCAGAAGACCCUCCCAAGGCAAACUCCGGCCAGUGGCUGUGCCAGGGUCUUUUAUCCCUGUGUAGACAUAUCCCAUUGACUUCAGGUGGACUUGUGGGUGCUCAUCUCUUCUGAAAACCAAGCCUUACCUGAGGGUCCAAGGCAAUUGAUGACUUUACAGGGCUUGUUCGUUUUAGAUUCGUGGAGCCUACAAAAAUCAAUAGUUUUCCAUUAUCGGGUGCGGCUGGGUCACUGGUCUGUCAAUGAGCUGUGACAAUUGCUGUGCAAGGGU